UACGAAGGGGGCUAGCGUUGCUCGGAAUCACUGGGCGGAAAGGGUGCGUAGGCGGGUCUUUAAGUCAGGGGUGAAAUCCUGGAGCUCAACUCCAGAACUGCCUUUGAUACUGAGGAUCUUGAGUUCGGGAGAGGUGAGUGGAACUGCGAGUGUAGAGGUGAAAUUCGUAGAUAUUCGCAAGAACACCAGUGGCGAAGGCGGCUCACUGGCCCGAUACUGACGCUGAGGCACGAAAGCGUGGGGAGCAAACAGG
rnacentral:rRNA from 1 species